GUCCACGCCCUAAACGUUGAUUACUCGUUGUUGGCGAUAUACAGUCAGCGACUAAGCUAAAGCGUUAAGUAAUCCACCUGGGAAGUACGACCGCAAGGUUGAAACUCAAAUGAAUUGACGGGGGCCCGCACAAGCGGAGGAGCAUGUGGUUUAAUUCGAUGAUACGCGAGUAACCUUACCUGGGCUUGAAAGUUAGUGACCGCCUCUGAAAGGAGGCUUCUCUUCGGAGCACAAAACUAGGUGCUGCAUGGCUGUCGU
rnacentral:rRNA from 1 species